rnacentral:ncRNA from 3 species
CCUUCGAUGUCGGCUCUU